CAAAUAAAUUUCUUUAUAUAUUUAUAAUUAUAAUACAAAUAAAGCCAUUGUCAAAUCAAUAUCUGCUUUUUGACAGGAAAUAACCAAGAAAAAAUAAAUAACUCAAUUUGUAAGAGCUAUAGCUACAAAUAUAACGACGGAUAGCUUAUGUCCUUUCUUUAGUUUUCAUUGCAUUUCCAUCUAGAAGUUGGAACACAUGUUAGAUAGUGACACCAAUGGCAGUGAUCAUAUCCACUCUCACCUCGAAAUAGCAUCACUAGAGCAAUAGAUAACCUAUCAUUCAACAAAUAAAUUCAAUAUGAUUAGAGAACAUCUACAUUGCUGUGAUAACAAUAGAAAUGCAUGAGUUGAGACAGACUAAAGUACUCAGUAUUGGAUGAUGUGGAGAGGAUUAUGCAAACAAAGUUUUCAAUUUCCUAACAGGCCAUGAGAACAGAAUCUCUAAAGAUCAAAUUAAGAUUUAGUAUAAUCUCAUGUAGCAAACUAAUAAUUUCUUCUCAUACCAAAACCAGCUGAAUUAUGAAUCAUGACAGUAUUUUAUUUGAGUUAUGGUUAUGAGGAUUCAAGAAAUGAACUCACCCAACAAUCAGUAAAAUAAGAGAGACAAUCCAUAGAACAUAUUGGUAAGGCUUGUAUUUUGACUUGAGGCGAACACCGGCUGGGAAACGUCGCUGUUCUAACCACCCAAAUUGAGGGCGGAGCAGCAAAACAAAACCAAGGAGAAAUCCUGUGAGGAAUCCCCCAAUAUGAGCAAAGUUAUCAACGUGGGGCAACAUUCCAAUGGCAAGAUUGAUGACAAUAAUAAACAGCAGUGUGAACAAAGCAGCUGCCUGCAAAAUGCACAGAGAGGGUUAGGAACUUAGAAUUAUCAUCUGAAAUAUACUAUCCAAGUAUUUCCCAUAUGUGCAAGUCAAUAAGUCUAAUUGAUGGAAAGAAAAAUAAAAUACUCAGAAGACCAUAACUAAAAGGGGUAUUCACGAAUUCAGUUUUGAAGAGGGUACAUAAAAUUAACCUAUCAAGAUUCAUGAUGACGCACACAGGAAGUCGUCAAAAGCUUCCAUAACAAGCGUACUGAAUAAAGAAAUAGGAUGGGAACUGAUAACUACUCACCUUAUUAGUAUAAAUACUCCAGUUUGUGAUGAGUUCUGAAAGCAUUGCUCCAAGAAGUCCAAAAAGAGCACCAGAAGCACCAACAGAUAUGUUGUUUCUAAUGAAUAGAGAAGAUAGUACACUCCCGCCGAAUCCAGACAAUAAGUAAAUGAUUCCUAUCCUCACUGUCAACAUUUUCACAAACGUGAGGCCACAACCAUUCGAAGGUAAAACUUGAAGAACACAAAAGAAGAACACUUCCAAAUGAGGGACCAUGCUACUCCGUAUGUCUUUGUUCAAAAUUUUGAGUAUAAUUCAAACUAUAACCUGGAAAAGAGAAACAUACCAAACCCAAAUUGUUGUUCAAGGCGAAUGCCAAUGAAGACCAGACUCAACAUGUUUGCAGCCAAAUGAACAAUUCCUGCAUGCAACCAAAUGCAAGUGACAAGUCUCCAUCCUUCAUGCUGAUUCACAACGUCAUCCCACCGAAGUGCUCCCAUCUUAGAUAAGCUUAAAAAAUGAAGCAAAAAAUUAAUCAGUAAAUAUCUCUAUACCACCAUACUUGCCAAGAGUUGGGGCAAAAAACUUCAAUUUAAACAAAUGAAAAAAGCCAGUCAUCAUGGCCGAAAAAUAGAUGUCAUUACUUCAUUUAUUUUAUUAAUUAUUUAGCACCAAAGAGUUGAAGGAUAAAAAUGAUUUAGAUUAUCACUAGCAAAGCAAGCAUCCAGAACUGUAAAAAAUGAGAAAUAAAAAUUUGCGAUUAUAUAAUAAAAGACAGAAAGUUCAUCUAUUAAUUUAAUUCAGGGUAAUAUGCGUGUUAGGACUCGGUUUUUUUUUUCAAAAUUUGUCUUAGUUUUUUUGUCCUUCUAUUUUAGAUAAUUGAUGAAUUUUGUCCCUCACCCAAAUAUCUGAAUUUUGAAGAGUAAAAAUUUACUGUUUAUAACAAAAUACAAUGCUUAUACCUAUAACAAGAACAAAGAUCAACUUUGACCCAAAAAAAGGAGGUCCUAAAACGCAUUCUACCUAUCUGAAUUUCCUUUAUCAAAAAUAAAUUUUGACUUCUGUAAGAUCAAACUUGACCACAAAGACAACAGUUCAAAAUUCAUGCCAGCAGAACUAAACCCAAACACAACAACACAAGUAGAUCACAAAAACCCCACACCCAAUUCAUGAAACAAAGCAAAUUUCAGCACCCAACAAACCGAAACAAAGCAAAUUUCAGAACCCAACAAACCGAAACAAAUCCAGUAUCAACAAGAAAAAAUAAAGUUAAACCAACGAAAAAAAACAAUGGAUUAUCGAGCUCAUACGUAGAUGAAGAAGGGCCAAACAAGGGAUUCUCCCUAAGUGGUUGAAAGGAGAAGCGGCCCAGAAACGUGGCGACACAGUCCCCUUCAAAGGCGAGAUUAUUCCUGGGACAAUCGUUGACAUACAUGGCCACAACGAAGACAACAACGUUAACCGCCACAAAAAGCGGCACGAGCCAAGAGGUCCAGUGAACUUCUGGAUCGAAAACAUAGUUAGUGGGAGCGGCGGAAUAGGUGGUGGCGUUCUUGGUGGCUCCUCCACUCUCUAGAUCUCUCCUGGCAGACGACAUCGUUUUGGUCUGGAAUUCUUGACUCAGGGAAUGACGCGUUUACUUUGGAAGUCUGAAAUUCUUAAUGUUUCUACGCGAAAUCUUUAGAAGCCUUAAAUCUGAGUGAAGAGAGAGAGGAAAGUGAGUGGAAGGGACGCAUCAACCAGUUGUGCAAAUAUACGUUUCAUUUCAGGUUUCCAACUAACACCUUCUCCAUCGGUGGAUAAGUUCGUUGUGGUUGAAGAUGGCCCAUCCUUGUUCGUCUUCGUCAUGCAGUGGGUGGCAGAAGGAAGACGAUAAUGUGGUCUGUGUUGGUGGUCGAGGAGGAUGUAGCAGUGGUGGUUCGUUUUGCUAUUGUGGGAUGAAAUGUGUUGUGAGAAUUGCGAGAACAUCUAAGAAUAGAUGUAAGCCAUUUUG
rnacentral:sRNA from 1 species